rnacentral:rRNA from 1 species
UGGGGAAUUUUGGACAAUGGGCGAAAGCCUGAUCCAGCAAUGCCGCGUGUGUGAAGAAGGCCUUCGGGUUGUAAAGCACUUUUGUCCGGAAAGAAAUCCUUGGCUCUAAUACAGUCGGGGGAUGACGGUACCGGAAGAAUAAGCACCGGCUAACUACGUGCCAGCAGCCGCGGUAAUACGUAGGGUGCAAGCGUUAAUCGGAAUUACUGGGCGUAAAGCGUGCGCAGGCGGUUUGCUAAGACCGAUGUGAAAUCCCCGGGCUCAACCUGGGAACUGCAUUGGUGACUGGCAGGCUAGAGUACGGCAGAGGGGGGUAGAAUUCCACGUGUAGCAGUGAAAUGCGUAGAGAUGUGGAGGAAUACCGAUGGCGAAGGCAGCCCCCUGGGCCAAUACUGACGCUCAUGCACGAAAGCGUGGGGAGCAAACAGGAUUAGAUACCCUGGUAGUCCACGCCCUAAACGAUGUCAACUAGUUGUUGGGGAUUCAUUUCCUUAGUAACGUAGCUAACGCGUGAAGUUGACCGCCUGGGGAGUACGGUCGCAAGAUUAAAACUUAAAUGAAUUGACGGGGUCAUAGCUGUUUCCU